rnacentral:rRNA from 1 species
UACGAGUGCCUCAAGCGUUAUCCGGAAUUAUUGGGCGUAAAGGGUGUGUAAGCGGCCCUGUUAGUCUCUCGUGAAAUACUCCGGCUCAACCGGAGGAACGCGGGGGAAACGGCAGGACUCGAGUGCGCGAGAGGUUUGCGGAACUCAUGGUGUAGGGGUGAAAUCCGUUGAUAUCAUGGGGAACACCAAAAGCGAAGGCAGCAAACUGGCGCGCCACUGACGCCGAAACACGAAAGCGUGGGUAGCGAAUGGG